AUGUAAAAUCAUGUGCGAGUAACAUUGGUCUAAUUAUAAACACGGCAGUCCGCCUGGUCUGUACACGUUCAUUACCUGCGCGUACGCCGCUCGAGUAAUUUGCGAUGCAGUUGCUCUUAGGUGCUUACGACCUAAACUAAAAAUACGUGGGGUCCGAUCAACGGCCAACUGGGCCAGUGAAGUAACCGUAGCUCAACGUCCCAAAUAUAGUCUGACAUCUCUACAUAGGCGGCUGCCGAUAGUUGGCAUCCGCAGCAAAGUGCAAGAGCACCGAGAGGAUAAUAGCGGCUGUCACCAAGAUUCCCUAACGACACGGCCGCCGUUCAACCGGCCGAUCCUUACGUCUAAUUUCGGUGCUACGCGAAACCCCUCGGCUCAUGGAAUCCGCCGUUUCCUAUCAAGGACCAAUUCGCUCGCGCGUGGUCGGAAAUUUCUGGACCGGCCGGUGGUGCACCCCGUUUAGCUCGCCGCGGCACCUCGUGGGCCGGUACCUCGACACCGUCUUCGCUCUCGCAUCCUUGAUGGUCGAUGCUUCGUCGCGGCGAAGGCGUGCUCGCGAUCGUAGAAAUCUUCGAACGGCGAGAGAGAUCGGCAUCCACAAAUUUAGACGUCGCGUUCGGGCCACGGGGAUUCGCGAUCGAACGGCUUAGAAUAAUUCGGGCCGCCGGCGAAUCUUUUAUUGGAGUAGGUUAUCAAGUUGAAGAAUCAAUUUAACCGUGGACCGUUCCGAAGGGAAAUUCGUGCCAGAAACUCGGGUUCGCGGCAGCCGCGAUAUUCCGCCGUGAACGCCGCCGAUAAACCUCGCGAACGGCCGCUGCCAAGACUCCCCGUGCACUUUGUUGUACGUUUGUUUUAAUUCAAUCCCCGACGACACGUGGAAGGGUUAUAAAUAAACGCUACGCGAUUGUUUGCACGUCGAUACAAAGUCGAUCAAUCGUUGGAGUUUGUAGUCGGCGAUAAAUGCUUCGGCGCGGACUAUAAAUGCCGAUAGCUAGAGACGGAACCGUUCCGUGCCCGGGAUAUUCGUCGUUGAUUCGCGCAAGCCUUAAAACGACGGUGCAAAUAGCGUUAACUCUCGCGGAAUAUCCAAUAUAAAUAACACGCGCGGAUCUCUCUGCACAAGCGCCGUCGCGUGUAUCCUUUUUCCGGGUUAUGAGUCUUUUCCCUCUAAAGCGGAACGCUUUCAAGGACACCGGAUCCUGCACCAAGAAAAUCCCGUUCGACCCGUUCAGUGGUCUGUAAAUGCUUAUCUGCCGGCAAGAAUAAAUUGGCGAAGAAAGAAACCUCCUUUACUAUAAAUACGUCCGUUAUCGCUUGCAUCUAGGGGGUGAUCUAUUAGUUUUCGUUCGCGCUGCGUGUUCGGUCCGCGACGACGCAUCCGUAUCUAUGCUAUUUUCGCAGUUUGCCGAAGUCGUCGCUUACGGAGUUAUCGGAGUGGUUACAGUCGCGCGCCUCAUCCUGUAUAAAAAAAGGAAAAGGGUCACGGUAAGGCCUGCUGUUGCCUUUCAUUACACGUGUUUACGACUCGAUGAAAGCAGCGAGGAAAUCUAUUUUUACGACGCGGAGUCCGUCUGUAAUCGAGCACGUGCCGACUGGAAGAAGGCUCGCCCUCGCCCUUGUCGGGCCUGUCCGGUGCCGUUUUCACUGUCGCGUUGGAGCAGGCUCGGGAAGGGUGGCCCGAGCCGCCGGCGGAGAAGCCGGGACCGAAAUUCUCGCGAUCGUUUCGAGAUGUAGAGCAAAAUCUGUUGGCAGACGUUCACGGUAGGCCGAAAGCUCGCGGCGACCGUCCGAGCCCGUGCGAUAUGCGAGCAAACGACAGGUAUUGUCCGCGGUCCUAAAUUAUUCAACGUUUUCUGCCGCUGGGGAGAAACUUUGGCAGGUUUCGAGCAACGCGACGUCGAGGAAACGCAGAAAACUCCCAUCUAUCAUGUCGAAACGCGUAACGCAAAAAUAGUCGCAAGGAUACACCGAGGUCGGACUUGGCGAGCGUGGACGUGGACGUGGACGUGGACGACGUCAAGGGUGCGCGGAUUAUCGGGACGCGUACGAGCUACGAAGCUGUGUUACCGUAAUCGCUGACACGCGCCAUCGUUCGUCUACUACGUAUUGAAGACUUUAACCAGUAUCGGUCAAGAUCGUUCCAAGAAGGAAUCCAAUUCACGAUGACUUUAUGCAAUUCACAAGUUCUGUAAAAUUACACAAAUUUGCGCGAUUGAAUUAAGCGCUGCUAUUUUUCGGACAAUCGAAGAACUAUUUUGCAUUGGAUUUCAGCGGGUUACCGUAAAUCUUGAGAAAAGGGGCCAUAAAAAUUUCAACGAAUGCGACUUCGUCGUGCUAAUGCGACUUCUCGUUUCGGACGAAACGAGAUGCAGUUUCAACGAGAAUCAGAUUUCUGAGAGAAACUACGACCAAUGACCGAACUAGAAUCGAUGGCGAGGUACUGAUCGAGAGGAUUCGCCGACAUCGCGGCAAGGAUGCGAGCCGUUUACGAUUGUUUCGGUACUCGGUACCAGCGAUUAAUCUCGAGGCACCCACGUACGCGAUGUCGGGUGGGUAGCAAGCGCACGUUUCUUCUCAUUGCAAACAGCUAUUUCCACUGUCGGCGACGCGCGACAGGUGCCUAUGCCCAUGCCAGCCAGCUAGAAGCUAGCUAGCUCUAGUCCCGCCGCGGGAUACUACAAUUCUCGGGCACGGAUUUCGAAACUGAAACGAAAACCCCGAGGUAUUUUCAAUCGUCUUCGUUGCUGGCAGUGCAUUCGGUUACUCCUCGGGGCGAUUCUUCGUCCUGGCCGGACCGAUAGGUGAAGGCAACCGAAUGCAUUUGCUCCUCGGCAUAUUUUUGGCGGGCAUGUGAGGCAAGAGUUUACGACGCGCACCAGGCACUUCGAAAUUUUUCGAAUUUAUUUCGGAGACCGUCGCAGGAGCAACUAGAAUGCAAUCUUCGAUGCAACUACGUACUUAAAAAGUAGUACUAAUAAUUAUUCUAAUAAUGAGAAAUUGUAACUUAAAUUAUACGUCGUCUUCUAAUAAUUGUUACAGUGUAUUAUAUUUUGAUAUUCGGUCGGGUGCAACGUAGGCCAAAAUAUUACAGAAUGUGGAUUAUUUUUAAUAAAAAAUAUCAACGUCCACGUACUUUUUAAAUUUUAAACUGUCCAUUGUAUCUUUCAUUACAGGGAGCUGCCAAUAAAGACAAUUAACAAGGCUGGUAGCUUAAAGCUGCCGAACCUGAAAA